rnacentral:rRNA from 1 species
CUCGUAGGCGGUUCGUCGCGUCCGGUGUGAAAGUCCAUCGCUUAACGGUGGAUCCGCGCCGGGUACGGGCGGGCUUGAGCGCGGUAGGGGAGACUGGAAUUCCCGGUGUAACGGUGGAAUGUGUAGAUAUCGGGAAGAACACCAAUGGCGAAGGCAGGUCUCUGGGCCGUCACUGACGCUGAGGAGCGAAAGCGUGGGGAGCGAACA